rnacentral:rRNA from 1 species
CUCGUAGGUGGCCAACUAAGUCAGACGUGAAAUCCCUCGGCUUAACCGGGGAACUGCGUCUGAUACUGGAUGGCUUGAGUUUGGGAGAGGGACGCGGAAUUCCAGGUGUAGCGGUGAAAUGCGUAGAUAUCUGGAGGAACACCGGUGGCGAAGGCGGCGUCCUGGCCAACACUGACACUGAUGAGCGAAAGCCAGGGGGAGCAAAACGG